rnacentral:rRNA from 1 species
CGUAGGGUGCGAGCGUUAAUCGGAAUUACUGGGCGUAAAGCGUGCGCAGGCGGUUUUGUAAGACAGGCGUGAAAUCCCCGGGCUUAACCUGGGAACUGCGUUUGUGACUGCAAGGCUAGAGUACGGCAGAGGGGGGUGGAAUUCCACGUGUAGCAGUGAAAUGCGUAGAGAUGUGGAGGAACACCAAUGGCGAAGGCAGCCCCCUGGGUCGAUACUGACGCUCAUGCACGAAAGCGUGGGUAGCAAACAGGAUUAGAUACCCUGGUAGUCCACGCCCUAAACGAUGUCAACUAGGUGUUGGAAGGGUAAAACCUUUUAGUACCGUAGCUAACGCGAGAAGUUGACCGCCUGGGGAGUACGGCCGCAAGGUUA